UUUCUGACCUUGGAAGACUUGGCUCUUCCCUGAGCCCUUCCCACAUCAAGGAGGUCUUUCAGGUACUAUCCUUGGCUGAGGCCCAGACGGCUUGAGUAGGCAUCAAAUCCCACCCCUUCUUUCUACAUGCGAGCAUCUUGAAGCCCAGAUCCCCUGUCAAGGUCAUUCACAAAGUCAAAGGCAGAGCCAGGGGUCAAACUCCUCUCAGUUGUCAUCACUGUCCCACCCUGUCUUGGCCCUUACCUUGCUCAACAGAACGGGGCAUGGUGCACCCUAAACUGUAAUGUGACAAAAGCCAACACAGGUCUCAAUCCAAGAAGCCGCUCUCCAAAAACAAGAGAGCUUUGGUAACAUCAUUGUGUGAGUGUGUGAGUGUGUGUGUGUGUGAUAGGGAUUGUGUGGAAUUCUGUCUCAUUCCUCUUUGUAGCAUCUGUCCUGUGAUAAGCCCUCAACAAGGAAGGAAAGGAAGAAGGGAGAGUGCUAUGGGCUGAAUUGUGCCCCCCACAGAUUCAUAAGUUGAAGUCAGCCCCUGUAUCUCAGAAUGUGACUGUUAAAGAGGUGAUUAAGUUAAAAUGGGGCUUUGAAGGUGGGUCCUCAUCCAGUCUGACUGAAGUCCUAAUGAGAGAGGAGAUCAGGACACGAGGAGAGACACAGGUCUUCACAGAAGCAGACUCUGCGCAGUCAGCAAGAGGGCUGCCAUGUGCGAGCCAAGGAAAGAGGCCUCGGAGGAAACCAACCCUGCUGGCGCCUUGAUUGUGGACUUCCAGCCUCUAGAACGCUCUGCAAAUCGUCUUCAUUAAACUGCUCUCAGUUAAAGCUUUGAGUGUGCCAAUGUGGGGAUUCUGACUGUAAGGAAAAUGGAUGUGCUGUGGUCAAGAAUAGGCCAAGGCAGACAUCUGGUCUAGCGUGACUCAGCAAGUUUGGAGCACAGGCGCACAACCCCACGCAUUAUGUAACCACACCACGUGAGGCACAUUAGAUGAUCACCCAUGUGAGUUCUUGCUUGGCUCGGAGCCACUAUUGUCUGUAAAAGGUAUAGUUACCCUGCUGAUGCUGUACAUAUGGCUUGCACCCAGAGAUGGAGUAAAGCCAUGUCAAAACUGUCUAUGAUUCCUUGAGUGUUUUUCCAGCUACCAGCCACUCACCCACUGACUCCCUUCAGACCUCAGUUAGAACCUGACGAUUGGCAUUAUGAACAGGAUCCUGAGCUGUGCUUCUGGAAUGGGCUGUGAUGGAAACCUGACUGGUGGUGGAUGGGUCCCUCAUGAGCAUGGAGCAGCAGUGAAAAAACUGGAAGUGCAGAGAACUGAGAAGGAGGAAAUGGCCGAGGUGUCUGGCUUGGGGACAUACUGGAUGACCAGAGGCCACAUGUGGACUUGGCAAUCCACUGAUCCCUGCACCUGGAUAAGUUUCCAGGCAAGGCUGCAUAGAUGGCUAUGGAGACUGGUGAGUGAAAGUGAAGCCUAUAUCUCUGCACCUUGGCAUCGGCCGCUUGGCUUCCUGCUUAUGCACUGUGUAUAUCUCUCCCAUACCUGAAUACAUUCUGGGGGUGGAUGUUUUACACGGGUUGGCAGCUGUGCCAUCUAUCACGGGUUUGGUGGACUGCUUGACAACAGAACUGAGACAGCACCCCUAUGCAGGGGACUUGGCCAAUGCAGUCUUCUCAAUUGACAUUGCUCUACAGAGCCAGGAACAGUUUGCCUUCAUGGGAGGGCAACAAUGGAUUUUCACAGUGCUGCCACAGGGCUACAUGCAUAGCCCCACCUUAUGUCAUGGUCUUGUUGAUGAUAUUAUGUUAACCUCUCACUCUCUUGCAGAUUUAGAAGUAGCAAUGCCCCUCUUGCCUGGGAUUGAGAGAGUGCUGCUGAAGCCGCCUUCCUGCCAGCCAACCGGGCUAUUCAGCAGAUGCAGGCCCUACGAGUGAUUGACCAGGGUUGCCCAUUUAAAUUUGAUAUGCAUGUGACCACAGAUGGGUUUGGCUGGGGCCUGUGGCUGUGCAUGGAGCACUUUAGAAUGAUAGUAGGCUUUUGGUCCCAACUUUAGAAGGGAGCUGAGCUCUGGUAUUCAUUGAUAGAGAAGCAGUUAGUAGCUGCAUAUACUGCCCCUCAGGCUCAUGAGAGCAUGGCAAGAUGAGCUACAGUCAUCAUGCUGAUGAUUUACUCAAUAGCAACUUGGGUACAGUUAUGGCUAUGGAUCCCCCUGCCUGUGACAGUGUAGACAUCCCUUUAGCAAAGUGGGGCACCUACUUAAAGCAGCAGAGUACACUGAGUACAACCCCUUACAGCAGAGUUGCAAGAGGUCUUGGGACCUGUAGUCUUAAUGCAAGACAAGGUCAUGGGGCCUGAGGUACCCCUAGACAUGGUUCUAGCUAAGGUGCUACUGCUGCUUGGACUGCUGUUGCAGUCCAACCUAGUACUGGCACCAUAUGGUUUGAAACCAGGUAUGGACAAAGUAGCCAAUGGGCUGAACUCAGGGCAGUGUGAAUGGUGAUCACCAAGGUGGUGACACCAAUGGUAAUCUGCACUGAUAGCUGGGCAGUUUAUUGAGGCUCAACCUUGUGGUUAACUACCUGCAAGUUACAGAAGUAGCUAGUCACCAGCCCAUGUGGGGCCAACCCAUGUGGCAAGACCUGUAGGAGGAAGGAUGACCUUCUCCAACCACAUAUGGGGACAAACGGUAACCUGUUGUUGCCUGCCCCAGUGCCCCUAAAGGUAGGAAAAUAAAAACCUGGCUUAAUGUAUAAAGCAGCAUUGGGGUAACAUCACCAUGGGGUGGUUGCCUGCCAUAACCUGGAGUUGUUGCUCCCUGUAGUACUGCUGUGGCCUCUGGAUUCAGGGUACUGCCCUGCAGGCGUGUCUCCCAGUAGAAGAACUCCCUUGGCUUACAGGGUGGAAUGUAAGGCCUGUGUGUCAGACCUGUGUGUCCAAGGCCUAUGUCUCCCUCAACCUAGGGGGUGGAGUGUAAGGAAAAUGGAUUUGCUGCAGUCAAGAAUAGGCCAAGGUAGAUAUCCAGUCCAGCAUGACUCAGCGAGUUUGGAGCACAGGUGCACAACUCCACACAUUAUGUAAUCACGCCGCGUGAGGCGCAUUAGGUGAUCACACACAUGAGCUUGUGCUUGGCUCAGACCCACUAUUGUCUGUACAAGGUAUAAUUACCCUGCUGAUGCUGUACAUACGGCUUACGCCUGGGCUCACUUGUGCCCAGAGAGAGAGUAAAGCCAUGUCGAAACUGUUUAUGAUUCCUCGAGUGUUUUUCCAGCUACCCACCACUCACCCACUGACUCCCCUCAGACCUCAGUUAGAACCUGACACUGACUAAGACACAGUCGUAGCUCAGAGGAUAUUUGAUUUCUUAUCCUGGACACUGAAAGCAGUUACAUGGAUUCUAUCAUACUUUGGCAUAAUUUCUCCUUCUGCAUACUUUAUGGGGUGAGGAUACAGAAUACGUCCCUGUUGCUAAUCUCUAAGUGAACUCUGUGCCCUUUAAAUCUUCUUGGACAAGCAUCCUUGUGGUUUUCACCAGGUGUACUCAAUCUAGAACAGGAAGGAGUGUGGAUGAAGUUGCUUGUGUGAAAUAGUAACAGAUGUAUGUAUCCAGUGCUGUGCUGGUCAAUGUUUAAAGUUCAGCUCUGGUGGAGGUGGGGUCUAGGAGGCCCCAGUUUGUAGCAUUUGCCAUUUUCUGUGGUGUAAAUAUUUUUACCAUGCUGAUUUUAAACCACAAGUGUAACAUCAUUGAACAUACUUUGGGAAGAGAUGCUACCUAGCUCUUGCAAGCUGAUGCAAGCUGGUUCCAGCACCUCCCUGUUUACACUCAGUUAUAGACAGAUUAGGAUAAACACAUUUAUGUUACAGUGGGAAUUUCAUAGGUUAAAACAUUACUGUAAAGAAGUUUGACGAGAAAGUCAUUGUGGGUGUAUUAUUAGUCAGCAGGUGAAUAUAAAUAGGAAGCACAGGUGUGUUUGUGUUCUCAGGGGAGGGCCCUGCUGCUGUUCAGUCACUCCGGGUUUCAAAUGCAAAGUGAAGGCAGCCUCGUGAUCCUAGAAUCCUGAAACAUUGUCACAGCUUCUGAACUAUUGGAUAUGUUGGCUUAUUAUUUGCAAAUAAAACUUCAGUUAUAGCUUGAAGCUUAUUUUAUCCUUUCUCAAAUUAGUUUUAUGUCAAAUUAGCAACAUAAGGUGAGAAUGAAAAAAUUAACUAAAAAUGA